UGAAGGUAAAGAUUCCAAAGACGGCUGUCAAAAUGAGUUUGCUGCUCAGAUGGUGUCACAAUUUUCCACACAAGACAACAAUAAACUUGUUUAGAACGAAAAGGGCAUAAGUGAUUUAUCAUACCUUCGACUAGAACUAGAGGCAGAGACAAAAGGUGCUUUGAGGAGAGCACAGACCCCGUAAUGACACCCCGAUGAAAAGCACAUCCAAUGAGGAUCAUCGUCUGUAACCCGCCGAAUCGCCUGCCAUUUCCCAUAAGCCAACCAUUCCUGGGAGCCGCAGUACCUGGGACGUUGGGGGAUGUGAAGGCUGUGAGCGUCAUACAGACGGGCUGGUCCUAGCAUACUGGAACCCGUGGGAGCAGUCUCAAGAAGAGCACCAGGAAGACAGAUGCAGUGCAUGGCGAGGACUGAUAACAUCUGCCAGGGAGUUUGGUGGAACAGAACACCUUGUGACCCCUUGACCCUUCUUUCAAGACCACCCCAUGUGGAGCUGUGCCCCAGUGCUGGGGAUGUUGGAAAACUCAUCGUUCCACCAGCCGAAUCGUAUAUCAACCACCUCUGCAAAAUGCUAUAACACUUUGUCCUCACACCUCUGAAGAUAAACUUGUGUCUUUUGUUUUGAUCUAGGAUAUUUUUUCUUUUUCAAUUUAAAAUACUACUUACGAUAGAG